rnacentral:rRNA from 1 species
GGACCGUAUACAAGUCUCCUGGGAUGGAGCAUCAUAGAGGGUGAGAAUCCCGUCUCUGAUACGGACUACCAGUGCAUUGUGGUAUGCUCUCAACGAGUCGAGUUGUUUGGGAAUGCAGCUCAAAAUGGGUGGUAAAUUCCAUCUAAAGCUAAAUAUUGGCGAGAGACCGAUAGCGAACAAGUACCGUGAGGGAAAGAUGAAAAGAACUUUGGAAAGAGAGUUAAACAGUACGUGAAAUUGCUGAAAGGGAAACGCUUGAAGUCAGUCGCGUCUGCUGGGAAUCAGCCUCACUUUUGUGUGGUGUACUUUCUGGUGGAUGGGUCAGCAUCAAUUUUGACUGCUGGAAAAAGGUGUGGGGAAUGUGGCAGCUCCGGCUGUGUUAUAGCCUCAUGUCGUAUACAGCAGUUGGGAUUGAGGAACGCAGCACGCCGCAAGGCAGGGUCUUCGGACCACUUUCGUGCUUAGGAUGCUGGCAUAAUGGCUUUAAGCGACCCGUCUUGAAACACGGACCAAGGAGUCUAACAUGCCUGCGAGUGUUUGGGUGGAAAACUCGAGCGCGUAAUGAAAGUGAAAGUUGAGAUCCCUGUCGUGGGGAGCAUCGACGCCCGGACCAGAACUUUUGGGACGGAUCCGCGGUAGAGCAUGUAUGUUGGGACCCGAAAGAUGGUGAACUAUGCCUGAAUAGGGUGAAGCCAGAGGAAACUCUGGUGGAGGCUCGUAGCGGUUCUGACGUGCAAAUCGAUCGU